rnacentral:rRNA from 1 species
GUGGGGAAUUUUGGACAAUGGGCGAAAGCCUGAUCCAGCCAUGCCGCGUGCAGGAUGAAGGCCUUCGGGUUGUAAACUGCUUUUGUACGGAACGAAAAGACUCCUUCUAAUAAAGGGGGUCCAUGACGGUACCGUAAGAAUAAGCACCGGCUAACUACGUGCCAGCAGCCGCGGUAAUACGUAGGGUGCAAGCGUUAAUCGGAAUUACUGGGCGUAAAGCGUGCGCAGGCGGUUAUAUAAGACAGAUGUGAAAUCCCCGGGCUCAACCUGGGAACUGCAUUUGUGACUGUAUAGCUAGAGGACGGUAGAGGGGGAUGGAAUUCCGCGUGUAGCAGUGAAAUGCGUAGAUAUGCGGAGGAACACCGAUGGCGAAGGCAAUCCCCUGGACCUGUACUGACGCUCAUGCACGAAAGCGUGGGGAGCAAACAGGAUUAGAUACCCUUGUAGUCC